rnacentral:rRNA from 1 species
CAGCCGCCGCGGUAAUACGUAGGGUGCGAGCGUUAAUCGGAUUUACUGGGCGUAAAGCGUGCGCAGGCGGCCCGUUAAGACAGGUGUGAAAUCCCUGGGCUCAACCUAGGAAUUGCGCUUGUGACUGGCGGGCUCGAGUACGGUAGAGGGGGGUGGAAUUCCUGGUGUAGCAGUGAAAUGCGUAGAGAUCAGGAGGAACACCGAUGGCGAAGGCAGCCCUCUGGGCCUGUACUGACGCUCAUGCACGAAAGCGUGGGGAGCAAACAGGAUUAGAUACCCUGGUAGUCCACGCCCUAAACGAUGGGUACUAGCCGUUUGGUGCGCGAUAGCGCUGAGUGGCGAAGCUAACGCGUGAAGUACCCCGCCUGGGGAGUACGGCCGCAAGGUUGAAACUUAAAGGAAUUGGCGGG